rnacentral:misc_RNA from 1 species
AAGAUAAAGUGAUUGUGUAAGCAAGCAUAGAGCAGAGCACUGGAGACGGGAGCAGCGAAGAUAUUGAUGUAGGAAGCGAACAAGAGUAAGAAGACAGGGAAGGCGAGCGAUUGUAGCGAGCGAUUGAAUUUGCGAGC